UUUCUUUGUGAAUCUCAACAUUUCUUCUUCCACGUUACUCAUUCUUUAAACCUUAGCAGUUUAACCUAAAUAUCCUUUCCCUUAUUGAGUUUAGAUGGAACUCAUCACUAAUCUGUGGCCCCAGAUGAUGAAAGCAAUGACCCGCUCAAUAUGUUGCCCCUUGAGACUUGUCUUGAUCAUUACUUGGAUCCUUAGGAUAGUUACGAGUGUUUUAUAUUGAUUGCACUCUGAU
rnacentral:lncRNA from 1 species